rnacentral:rRNA from 1 species
UAAAGCGAGCGCAGGCGGUUAGAUAAGUCUGAAGUUAAAGGCUGUGGCUUAACCAUAGUACGCUUUGGAANCUGUUUAACUUGAGUGCAGAGGGGGAGAGUGGAAUUCCAUGUGUAGCGGUGAAAUGCGUAGAUAUAUGGAGGAACACCGGUGGCGAAAGCGGCUCUCUGGUCUGUAACUGACGCUGAGGCUCGAAAGCGUGGGGAGCGAACAGGAUUAGAUACCCUGGUAGUCCACGCCGUAAACGAUGAGUGCUAGGUGUUAGGCCCUUUCCGGGGCUUAGUGCCGCAGCUAACGCAUUAAGCACUCCGCCUGGGGAGUACGACCGCAAGGUUGAAACUCAAAGGAAUUGACGGGGGCCCGCACAAGCGGUGGAGCAUGUGGUUUAAUUCGAAGCAACGCGAAGAACCUUACCAGGUCUUGACAUCCCGAUGCCCGCUCUAGAGAUAGAGUUUUACUUCGGUACAUCGGUGACAGGUGGUGCAUGGUUGUCGUCAGCUCGUGUCGUGAGAUGUUGGGUUAAGUCCCGCAACGAGCGCAACCCUUAUUGUUAGUUGCCAUCAUUCAGUUGGGCACUCUAGCGAGACUGCCGGUAAUAAGCCGGAGGAAGGUGGGGAUGACGUCAAAUCAUCAUGCCCCUUAUGACCUGGGCUACACACGUGCUACAAUGGCUGGUACAACGAGUCGCAAGUCGGUGACGGCAAGCUAAUCUCUUAAAGCCAGUCUCAGUUCGGAUUGUAGGCUGCAACUCGCCUACAUGAAGUCGGAAUCGCUAGUAAUCGCGGAUCAGCACGCCGCGGUGAAUACGUUCCCGGGCCUUGUACAC